rnacentral:rRNA from 1 species
UACGGAGGGGGCUAGCGUUGUUCGGAAUUACUGGGCGUAAAGCGCACGUAGGCGGCUUUGCAAGUUAGAGGUGAAAGCCCGGGGCUCAACUCCGGAAUUGCCUUUAAAACUGCAUCGCUAGAAUUGUGGAGAGGUAAGUGGAAUUCCGAGUGUAGAGGUGAAAUUCGUAGAUAUUCGGAAGAACACCAGUGGCGAAGGCGACUUACUGGUCACAUAUUGACGCUGAGGUGCGAAAGCGUGGGGAGCAAACAGG